UUAAGCGACUAAGCGUACACGGUGGAUGCCCUGGCAGUCAGAGGCGAUGAAGGACGUGCUAAUCUGCGAUAAGCGUCGGUGAGGUGAUAUGAACCGUUAUAACCGGCGAUUUCCGAAUGGGGAAACCCAGUGUGUUUCGACACACUAUCAUUAACUGAAUCCAUAGGUUAAUGAGGCGAACCGGGGGAACUGAAACAUCUAAGUACCCCGAGGAAAAGAAAUCAACCGAGAUUCCCCCAGUAGCGGCGAGCGAACGGGGAGGAGCCCAGAGCCUGAAUCAGUGUGUGUGUUAGUGGAAGCGUCUGGAAAGGCGCGCGAUACAGGGUGACAGCCCCGUACACAAAAAUGCACAUAUUGUGAGCUCGAUGAGUAGGGCGGGACACGUGGUAUCCUGUCUGAAUAUGGGGGGACCAUCCUCCAAGGCUAAAUACUCCUGACUGACCGAUAGUGAACCAGUACCGUGAGGGAAAGGCGAAAAGGACCCCGGCGAGGGGAGUGAAAAAGAACCUGAAACCGUGUACGUACAAGCAGUGGGAGCCUCUUAAUGGGGUGACUGCGUACCUUUUGUAUAAUGGGUCAGCGACUUAUAUUCUGUAGCAAGGUUAACCGAAUAGGGGAGCCGAAGGGAAACCGAGUCUUAACUGGGCGUUAAGUUGCAGGGUAUAGACCCGAAACCCGGUGAUCUAGCCAUGGGCAGGUUGAAGGUUGGGUAACACUAACUGGAGGACCGAACCGACUAAUGUUGAAAAAUUAGCGGAUGACUUGUGGCUGGGGGUGAAAGGCCAAUCAAACCGGGAGAUAGCUGGUUCUCCCCGAAAGCUAUUUAGGUAGCGCCUCGUGAAUUCAUCUCCGGGGGUAGAGCACUGUUUCGGCAAGGGGGUCAUCCCGACUUACCAACCCGAUGCAAACUGCGAAUACCGGAGAAUGUUAUCACGGGAGACACACGGCGGGUGCUAACGUCCGUCGUGAAGAGGGAAACAACCCAGACCGCCAGCUAAGGUCCCAAAGUCAUGGUUAAGUGGGAAACGAUGUGGGAAGGCCCAGACAGCCAGGAUGUUGGCUUAGAAGCAGCCAUCAUUUAAAGAAAGCGUAAUAGCUCACUGGUCGAGUCGGCCUGCGCGGAAGAUGUAACGGGGCUAAACCAUGCACCGAAGCUGCGGCAGCGACACUAUGUGUUGUUGGGUAGGGGAGCGUUCUGUAAGCCUGUGAAGGUGGCCUGUGAGGGUUGCUGGAGGUAUCAGAAGUGCGAAUGCUGACAUAAGUAACGAUAAAGCGGGUGAAAAGCCCGCUCGCCGGAAGACCAAGGGUUCCUGUCCAACGUUAAUCGGGGCAGGGUGAGUCGACCCCUAAGGCGAGGCCGAAAGGCGUAGUCGAUGGGAAACAGGUUAAUAUUCCUGUACUUGGUGUUACUGCGAAGGGGGGACGGAGAAGGCUAUGUUGGCCGGGCGACGGUUGUCCCGGUUUAAGCGUGUAGGCUGGUUUUCCAGGCAAAUCCGGAAAAUCAAGGCUGAGGCGUGAUGACGAGGCACUACGGUGCUGAAGCGACAAAUGCCCUGCUUCCAGGAAAAGCCUCUAAGCAUCAGGUAACAUCAAAUCGUACCCCAAACCGACACAGGUGGUCAGGUAGAGAAUACCAAGGCGCUUGAGAGAACUCGGGUGAAGGAACUAGGCAAAAUGGUGCCGUAACUUCGGGAGAAGGCACGCUGAUAUGUAGGUGAAGCGACUUGCUCGUGGAGCUGAAAUCAGUCGAAGAUACCAGCUGGCUGCAACUGUUUAUUAAAAACACAGCACUGUGCAAACACGAAAGUGGACGUAUACGGUGUGACGCCUGCCCGGUGCCGGAAGGUUAAUUGAUGGGGUUAGCGGUAACGCGAAGCUCUUGAUCGAAGCCCCGGUAAACGGCGGCCGUAACUAUAACGGUCCUAAGGUAGCGAAAUUCCUUGUCGGGUAAGUUCCGACCUGCACGAAUGGCGUAAUGAUGGCCAGGCUGUCUCCACCCGAGACUCAGUGAAAUUGAACUCGCUGUGAAGAUGCAGUGUACCCGCGGCAAGACGGAAAGACCCCGUGAACCUUUACUAUAGCUUGACACUGAACAUUGAGCCUUGAUGUGUAGGAUAGGUGGGAGGCUUUGAAGUGUGGACGCCAGUCUGCAUGGAGCCGGCCUUGAAAUACCACCCUUUAAUGUUUGAUGUUCUAACGUUGGCCCGUAAUCCGGGUUGCGGACAGUGUCUGGUGGGUAGUUUGACUGGGGCGGUCUCCUCCUAAAGAGUAACGGAGGAGCACGAAGGUUGGCUAAUCCUGGUCGGACAUCAGGAGGUUAGUGCAAUGGCAUAAGCCAGCUUGACUGCGAGCGUGACGGCGCGAGCAGGUGCGAAAGCAGGUCAUAGUGAUCCGGUGGUUCUGAAUGGAAGGGCCAUCGCUCAACGGAUAAAAGGUACUCCGGGGAUAACAGGCUGAUACCGCCCAAGAGUUCAUAUCGACGGCGGUGUUUGGCACCUCGAUGUCGGCUCAUCACAUCCUGGGGCUGAAGUAGGUCCCAAGGGUAUGGCUGUUCGCCAUUUAAAGUGGUACGCGAGCUGGGUUUAGAACGUCGUGAGACAGUUCGGUCCCUAUCUGCCGUGGGCGCUGGAGAACUGAGGGGGGCUGCUCGUAGUACGAGAGGACCGGAGUGGACGCAUCACUGGUGUUCGGGUUGUCAUGCCAAUGGCACUGCCCGGUAGCUAAAUGCGGAAGAGAUAAGUGCUGAAAGCAUCUAAGCACGAAACUUGCCCCGAGAUGAGUUCUCCCUGACCCUUUAAGGGUCCUGAAGGAACGUUGAAGACGACGACGUUGAUAGGCCGGGUGUGUAAGCGCAGCGAUGCGUUGAGCUAACCGGUACUAAUGAACCGUGAGGCUUAACCUU
rnacentral:rRNA from 1 species